AUCGCUUCUCGGCCUUUUGGCUAAGAUCAAGUGUAGUAUCUGUUCUUAUCAGUUUAAAAAGGAAGGGGAACCUCUAGAUGAAUCAGAUCUGAGAGUUUGAGAAUUAAACUCAUUCUGUCACCUAAAAUCAAGCUCUAAAAAUGAUUAAUGAUUUGGAUUUACUUGAGAUAAUGUGCUUUUUCUCGUAUUUUAC